ACAUUCCUGCAACAUAGUGUUAAUGCAUUGUAUCCCAUUAUAACUCCGUAGUUAAGAGAGCUCAGGCUAGAGUAGUACUGGGAUGGGUGACCGCCUGGGAAGUCCUAGUAUUUUAAAUGCC
rnacentral:rRNA from 1 species